rnacentral:rRNA from 1 species
UACGUAGGGGGCAAGCGUUGUCCGGAAUCAUUGGGCGUAAAGAGCGUGUAGGCGGCCCGAUAAGUCCGCCGUGAAAGUCCAGGGCUCAACCCUGGAAUGCCGGUGGAAACUGUCGGGCUGGAGUCCGGGAGAGGCGAGUGGAAUUCCUGGUGUAGCGGUGAAAUGCGCAGAUAUCAGGAGGAACACCAAUUGCGAAGGCAGCUCGCUGGGACGUUACUGACGCUGAGACGCGAAAGCGUGGGGAGCAAACAGG